CAUGGAGAGGAGGCCCUAGGCCGGGGAAGGACACAGACUUACAAAUGAAUAGCAGGCUGAGGAAAAUGUUUCGUUAAUCCUUAAUAGCAAAACAAUAGAGGAAAGAUUUGAGGAUACCCCAUAUAAUUAAUAGAGUAGAACUAAGCAUGCCACACAUGCUUCCAAGAUCACAGAAUGCAUGGAGGAAAAAAAAGCAAUACAAUGGUUAAUCACUUCAGAGAAAUCAUGCAUAAAGUACUACAUGUACCACAUCCAAGAUAAUGACCAAACCUCUUCAAAACCAGCCCAUCUGGUAAAUCUCUUCCAAAGCUCAAAUUGCACCAGGCCAUCCUUAACCAUCCUUGACCCUUCAGGCACCUAAAGCUAGCUUGAGUUGCACUCCUCAGCAAUGAAAGCGACAUGCAAAUAAACAACAACAAAAUCCCCUUGCUCAUCUGAAACAUUCAAAAAUGUUUGUAAGCUUAAGGAUGAAGAGGGGAAAGGGUGGCAAAUUACCAACUUGGAUUAUCAAGGGUAGUGGAGUAAGACAAUGGUGUUUCAGGUCAUACUAAGAACACACAAACUGACCUCAUGCAUGAGGAAGGAAAUCCAAGCUCAAAUCAGAACCAGGCAUUUCAGAACAAUACUCUCACGAGCAACACAUGAUCUCUUGGAAUAAUGGUCCUAAGAGCAAAUGAACUUUAGUCGUGUUAAAUAUUUACGUGUUUAAGAAACAGAUUUUCCAUCUAAAUUGUUGGUAAACCGACCAUCCCACUCUAAGAGAGAUUUUAUGUCUCUGUCGUAAUUCCUGAAAUCUGUGUUGAUAUCUCUUCUUGUCCAAAAUCAUAGGAUUGAGCUGUUAUGAUUCUAAUUAAACUUGCAAAGUGGCAUAUUAAAAGCAGAUCUAACCAAAGAUACAAUGAAGCAAGAGGGUGAGGCUUAAAGCAAUAUUAGCAACUAGUGUUUUGUGGUUUCUCUUCAAAUACCAAAGGAGAUUGAAUUGGAGUGAGGGGAAUAUUGGCUAAUAAAUUUCCAGAGGAAAAAGAAACCACCUCUAUUUUCAAUCUUUAAGUAUGAGGGGAAGGAACUAAGGAAUACCUUAGUUAAAUAUUGUUUAUAAUGUUUCUCUAAGUUCAAUUCUGUAUAAAUGAAUUUGGUGACACCCCAAGGAAUUCCAGAGCAAAGUAAAAUUUUGCACCUAGGAUAUUUCAUGUAUGCAGCAUACACUUAGAGCUGAAUUUUUUUUAAAGAUAUGCAAAGAAAAAAUCAGAAGAAAGUGCCAACAAAUUCUUAACUCUUGGGGGCUAGGAGGACACCACUGUCUAUUUCAAAAUACUCACAGUUGAAAACAUUAAACAAAAGAUUAAUGGUCAAUGUGACUUCCUUUUUCUUGCAGCUCUUAUUUAAACAAGUUGCACACAUAAGUGGUGCUAUAUGCAUAGGAUUUUGCAUUAAGUUUGCAAUGUCAGGUUUGUUUAUAAAAAUCAUAUUUUUAACCACUGGCCCCUGGGGCUCUGUUCUGGGCAGUUACAAGCUCCAACCAGCUCUGUUCUGAUUUUUAAAAAGACAGCUCUCAUUUCCAUGAACUUUCAAUGGAGACAUUUCAGACCUUGGAACAAAACAUUUGGUUUAUACUCUCUGUGGCCUUACGAACUUACAAUUAAGUUUAUUUACUUGGCUCAGAAUGUGCACUUCUGUUUGCCAUAACUGGCGGGUGGCCACUGCCAGUCCGGGAGAGGCCUGCAGAGUUUAGAGCUUUUAUUCCUAUCUAUCUGUCUAUCUAUCUAUCUAUCUAUCUAUCUAUCUAUCUAUCUAUCUAUCUAUUUGCCCAGCCUCCAGUACUGUGAAAAAAAUUUCCUCUUAGUGCUUUUGAGAGCAUUUACUGCAUUUUUGUUUCUGUUGAGAAGUUUUAACUCCAUUCAUAAACCUAGUGGUCACACAGUAGUUAAUAUCUUUUCCACCGUGGUUGAAAUCGUGGCUUCUGUAAUUUAUGCCCAACCAUAACAACGCUCAUAAGCAACUGCAGAGCACACAAGACCUCCCAUUCCUGGAUUUGCUGCCACUUCAAGGAAAAUGAAGAGACUUUACGGAAUAGUUAUGACACAUAACUGCAUGGACUUGCUUUGCCGUCCACUCUAAUGUGGCAACAUCAUCGAGUUUUUGCUUUGGUCUCAACCACAGAACUUUAACUUAGCAUUUUUCUCCACCCUUUUUUCCCCCUCUCUUUUCAUCCCCCUCUUUUCAGUUUAAGAGCAAACAUAAACGUGAUCAUUAUGAGGUUCUAGAAAUAUAUUGUAGCUGGACUUCCCAGAUAAGAUGUUCAUUAAGGGGCUAGACUUUUAUGCUACAAACACUCUGUGGUUUCAUUAAUGCGUCUUGAAAUGUCAAUAUGGGGUGGGGGCCAAACGGUCAUGACUCUCACAGCUAAUUACUCAUACUUAGUCCAGGAAGUGCUGUUGUUUGCAAUGUGGCUUAGGCUUGUAUAAACUUGAUUCUUUGAUAUCAAAGAAAUUAUCUAAGGCAAAAUGAUGUGUUCAGUGUGACUCUGCAGGGUAAGCCUUCAGCUUGGGUUGACCCAGGGAAAUGGGCGGAAUGGAGCCCUUUUUCUUGGCCGCUGUCUAUAACUGCAGCUCUGCCAUCUCCCCUGUUCAGAUACUUCUUCCUAAGGCCCUUUUGGAAAAUUCUAGAAUGUUACCUGAGCUGCUACUAUUUACAGGGCAAUCCCUGAGCAAAAAGAAAUGUCACUUUUUUUUUUUUUUUUAUAAUGGCAAUGUCUACCAGCUCUGGGACUGAGUCGAGAGUCAUAUGUGGAGGUGGCACCAUUGCAUGGCAUACCAUCCGUGAUCAUUCAUUUCAUGAUGCAAUAGUGUUAGACCUCAGAGCUGAGCUGCAUCACAGAAAGAGCAGUGGGGAGACUGACAGAAGUUUCAGUCUCUCAGUGCCUCCUGAAAGACUGUCCCUAAGUGCAGACAGUGGUCUUACCAUCUUAAAAAAGCUCAGUGUAACAUGAUCCACCCCGUCACCACUCUCUGUGGGAAAAGAACCUGAAAAAGAAUGAAUAUAUGUAUAUGUAUAACUGAAUUACUUUACACUGGAAACUAACACAAUAUUGCAAACCACCAUAGUCAAUCAAAUAAAAUAAAAACUAAAACAUAAAUAAAAUGUAUGAAACUUCAUGCUUGUCCAUUAGAAAAAUCCCAGCCUAGGACAUUACUGUGGGUUUUUUGGUUUGUUUGUUUGUUUGUUUUUAACCUCCUGCACAUUUCCUCUUCUCGAUAGCUCUUGGAUUUCCUUUGGGGGAAUUAUCUAUCCCAACUAUAAGCAGUUUCACUGGGAUGAGAAAGUAACAUUCCACUAGAGACUUGAAGGCGUCCUUGGAUAUUCUUUCCUCCUUCAUUCUCCCGGGUCUUAGCAACGAUCACAUCACACAGCAAUCUCCCUGGGUAUAAGUCAGAAAUUUUGGACCUGUUUUCAUCUUCUGACAUCUCAACUCUCAUAGCCAAAAAGUCAUCAGACGCUGCCAAUGGCAGUCCGUACCUAUUUUUCACAUCUCCUUUUCCUCCCCAUCUUUCCCUGCUAUCAGAGUUAGGGCCCUUGACUUGGGUCCCCAACACUGUGCUGGUCUCCUCAGCAAUAUGUCUGCCUCCUGUUUCUCUCCAACCCAACUCUUUGCAAUAAUAAAAGUCACUCUUUAAGUAAUUGGUCCCUUAUGAUGGGCCAGGCAUUAUGCUAAGCACUUUUAAAAAUCUAAUCUUGGGAGUUCCUGUUGCAGCUCAGUGGGUUUUGAACCCGACUAAUAUCCAUGAGGAUGCAGGUUCCAUUCCUGGCUUCACUCAGUGCGUAAAGGCUCUGGAGUUGCUGUAAGCAGCUCCAAUUCGACAUCAAGCCUAGGAACUUCCAUAUGCUGCAGAUGCAGCCCUAAAAAGCAAAAUUAAUUAAUUAAUUAAAAAUCUAAUCCUCACAAUUCUCCCGAAGUAGGUGUUAUUUUCUCACUCUAUAGGCAAGGAAACCAAGGCCAAGAGAUAUUAAGAAACUUACCUAUGAUCACCCAGGUAUUACUUAUUCUAGCCAAGAUUUGAAUGCAAUUCUGUAUGACUCCAAAUUCUGUGUUUUGAAGGAGGUAGAAAUAGUCACCUCUUAUAAGUGCUGUUAUUAAUUUCUCUGCUCACAGUUCUAGGUGUUUAUAAUCCACGGCCAGUACUAUCAAAUCACAAACAAGUGAGGCUUCCCAGAGUCUGUCUUGAUUUAGCUUUUCCAACCACCCUUCUUGCUAAUCACCAUGGCCAUCUGAGACCCAGACACCCAACCAUCUCUAAAUGCUUGGUGUCCCUCAGAUGAAUGACAUUCUCUCAUGCCUCUCAUUCCUUUGCAUCCACUGCUCCUUCAGGCAGCAGUGCUUGGUCUCUUUUCUCCCAUCUGAAAAACCCCUGCUUAAUCUUCAAGAUCCCUCUGGGCUGUCACGUCUCUCUAGGAUCAUCCUUGGAUGCCCUGGCUGAGUUCAUACCCACCCCCCCAGGGCACCCAUCACCCUGAGACACUCCUUCACUGAAUCCUCCUCAUCCUGGGCUCUGAGAAGUUGUAGACAGCUUCCUCGCUGGGCUGUGGCUUCUUCCAAGGUCUGGGCUUCAAUGGUUAUCUCUCCUUCCUGCUUCCACUCUGCCCUGCCUUAUUCUCCACAUGUCAUAUCACUCCUCUAUUGAAACCCUUCCAAAAAUGUCCUAUCAUAUUUAGACUAAAACUCGACAAGAUCCAUAAAGCCUGAUAUCUCUCUGACUCACCCCCACUUUUCCUAUCCCUCCUUCUCCUCACUCAGCCAUGUGGCCUCCCAGCUAUUUCUUGAACAGGCCAAGGACAUGCCUACUCUGAACUCUCACACUGACCAUUCCCUCUGCCUGGAAGGCUCUUUGCUCAAAGGUCUACCCGGAUGAUCUCUGCCAAAUGUCAUCUCCUCAGCGAAACCUUCCCUGACCACACACAUGAAGGAUAAGUACAAAAGGCAGCCACCAUCACACUUUCGCCUUUCUUCCCCCUCUUAGCACUGACCAUUAUCUGUCAUUAUAUGCCACAACUGGGUGUGUAUCCGUGUGCCGUGUCCACUGAAACAUAAGCCCCAGGGCAGGCCAGUGUCUGCUUUCUUUAGCGUUAAAGCCCUGGGGCUUUUACCAGCCACUGCUUAGUAAGUAUAAAUGAAUAAGUGAGGCUCCUCCCCUACUUUCCAGUGUUGGCAAGAUUGCCAGUUACACUGCAGGGGCUCAAAACAUACUCAGGGCACAGUGAGGGAGUGGUGGUACAAAUUAUAAAGAAUUGCCUGGAGUUCCCAUUGUGGCUCAGCAGGUUAUGAGCCCAACUACUAUCCAUGAGGAUUCAGGUUUGAUCCCUGGCCUUGCUCAGGGGGCUAAGGAUCUCGAGUUGCUGUCAGCUGCAGUAUAGGUCGCAGAGGAGGCUCAAAUCCCAUGUUGCUGUGGCUGUGGCAUAGGCUGGCAGCUCCAGCUCCAAUUCCCCUAACCUGGGAACUUUCAUAUGCUGCAGGUGCGGC
rnacentral:lncRNA from 1 species